rnacentral:lncRNA from 1 species
UGGAGAGAAGUUUGAACGAAAUUGGUAAAGUGAAAAGAAACAGACCGCAAACCCUUAUAUCGGUUCGGGCGGAGGGACCGGUCUCUCCAAGUCUGGGACCGGCCCCAGAGCCAAAACCAAAAAAUCUAAUUUUCGUCCAGAAUUUUCAGAAAUUUUAUAUAAUAUCCUCAACAUAUCCAACAUAAAAAAUACACAAUAUCCAUCCCCAAAGACUUCCAAUAAAAUUUCAUAAAUAAAUUUUGAAAAA